UUGAAUAUUUUAUCAUUACUCACAUUACAUGAUUUUCAAAAAUAAAGAAUAGAAAAGAAAAGAACAAAAGAAGUUUGAAUUGAAAACAAAAAACUGCUCCAUACCACCACCGAAUCUAUCUAUAUAAUAAAAUCAUGAAUGUAAAAGUGAGUGGAAACAUACUUGAAUAACUGAAAUUUAAAAAGUAACUAUAAUUUUAAAUUAUGGCGGGAAAAAAUAGCCAUUAAACUGUUCUUUUAUAUAAUAUAUAGAUU
rnacentral:lncRNA from 1 species